rnacentral:rRNA from 1 species
GACGGAGGAGGCAAGCGUUAGUCCGGAAUUAUUGGGCGUAAAGCGUCCGCAGGCGGCUUUUUAAGUCUGUUGUCAAAGCCCACAGCUCAACUGUGGACGCAAUGGAAACUGGGAGCUAGAGUGUGGUAGGGGUAGGAGGGAAUUCCCGGUCGUAGCGGUGAAAUGCGUAGAUAUCGGGAAGAACACCAGUGGCGAAGGCGCUCUACUGGGCCACAACUGACGUGAGGGACGAAAGCUAGGGGGAGCAAAACGGG